UGAUGGCUGUUUCUCUCAAUGCUUGGAGCCUUAAGUAGUGGGAUUUUAGUCCAUCAUAUAUCUAAGCUGACUUGUAUUCAUUCACUCAGGGCACCAUGGGGAUGGGUUGGUUGUCCGUUAGUGCCUUCUGAUUUUUGUGAGGUCAAACAAUU
rnacentral:snoRNA from 1 species